rnacentral:rRNA from 1 species
CAUGCAAGUCGAGCGGCAGCGAAAGUAGCUGCUACUUUGCCGCGAGCGCGGACGGUGAGUAAUGUCUGGAACUGCCUGAUGAGGGGGAUAACUACUGGAACGGUAGCUAAUACCGCAUGACUCGCAAGAGCAAAGUGGGGGGACCUUCGGUCCUCACGCAUCGGAUGUGCCCAGAUGGGAUUAGCUAGUAGGUGGGGUAAUGGCUCACCUAGGCGACGAUCCCUAGCUGGUCUGAGAGGAUGACCAGCCACACUGGAACUGAGACACGGUCCAGACUCCUACGGGAGGCAGCAGUGGGGAAUAUUGCACAAUGGGCGCAAGCCUGAUGCAGCCAUGCCGCGUGUGUGAAAGAAGGGCUUCGGGUUGUAAAGCACUUUCAGCGAGGAGGAAGGGGUUGAGUUUAAUACGCUCAAUCAUUGACGUUACUCGCAGAAGAAGCACCGGCUAACUCCGUGCCAGCAGCCGCGGUAAUACGGAGGGUGCAAGCGUUAAUCGGAAUUACUGGGCGUAAAGCGCACGCAGGCGGUUUGUUAAGUCAGAUGUGAAAUCCCCGAGCUUAACGUGGGAACUGCAUUUGAAACUGGCAAGCUAGAGUCUUGUAGAGGGGGGUAGAAUUCCAGGUGUAGCGGUGAAAUGCGUAGAGAUCUGGAGGAAUACCGGUGGCGAAGGCGGCCCCUGGACAAAGACUGACGCUCAGGUGCGAGAGCGUGGGGAGCAAACAGG